rnacentral:rRNA from 1 species
GACGAACGCUGGCGGCGUGCUUAACACAUGCAAGUCGAACGGAAAGGCCCUGCUUUUGUGGGGUGCUCGAGUGGCGAACGGGUGAGUAACACGUGAGUAACCUGCCCUUGACUUUGGGAUAACUUCAGGAAACUGGGGCUAAUACCGGAUAGGAGCUCCUGCUGCAUGGUGGGGGUUGGAAAGUUUCGGCGGUUGGGGAUGGACUCGCGGCUUAUCAGCUUGUUGGUGGGGUAGUGGCUUACCAAGGCUUUGACGGGUAGCCGGCCUGAGAGGGUGACCGGCCACAUUGGGACUGAGAUACGGCCCAGACUCCAACGGGAGGCAGCAGUGGGGAAUAUUGCACAAUGGGCGGAAGCCUGAUGCAGCAACGCCGCGUGCGGGAUGACGGCCUUCGGGUUGUAAACCGAUUUCGCCUGUGACGAAGCGUGAGUGACGGUAAUGGGUAAAGAAGCACCGGCUAACUACGUG